CUGGGUAAACCAGCACGAUCAUUUGACCAUGAUGACAAAAGGACUCUACCCAGCCUCCUUGGCAACUCUCUUUGAAUCAGUAAAGGAAUUAGAUUAUCUCCAGAAGCAAAGGAAAUGUAAAGAAAUGGACAGGUUACUUUCAGGAUUAAUUCCAGUGGCCUCAUUAAUCGCACUCCUGUGGACUCUCUUGGGCCCAUCAAUGCUUUUCUGGGCUGAGCCACAAAGAAC